CGCACGGGUGAGUAACGCGUAGAUGAUCUACCCUUCAGUCUGGGACAACUCUUGGAAACGGGAGCUAAUACCGGAUAAAACCUUCGGGUUGAAAGAUUUAUCGCUGGGGGAUGAGUCUGCGUACCAUUAGCUUGUUGGUGGGGUAACGGCCUACCAAGGCGACGAUGGUUAGCGGGUCUGAGAGGACGAUCCGCCACACUGGAACUGAGACACGGUCCAGACUCCUACGGGAGGCAGCAGUAGGGAAUAUUGCGCAAUGGGGGCAACCCUGACGCAGCAAUGCCGCGUGAGUGAAGAAGGCCUUCGGGUCGUAAAGCUCUUUUAUGGGGGAAGAUGAUGACGGUACCCCAUGAAUAAGCACCGGCUAACUACGUGCCAGCAGCCGCGGUAAUACGUAGGGUGCGAGCGUUGUUCGGAAUUACUGGGCGUAAAGGGCGUGCAGGCGGAUUGGCAAGCCGGAGGUGAAAGCCCGGGGCUCAACCUGGGAACUGCAUCCAAAACUGAUUCACUAGAGCACGAUAGAGGGAAGUAGAAUUCACAGUGUAGCGGUGGAAUGCGUAGAUAUUGUGAAGAAUACCAAUGGCGAAGGCAGCUUCCUGGUUCUGUACUGACACUGAGGUGCGAAAGCGUGGGUAGCGAACAGGAUUAGAUACCCUGGUAGUCCACGCCGUAAACGAUGACAACUAGCUGUUGGGAGACAAGAUCUCUCAGUGGCGCAGCUAACGCUUUAAGUUGUCCGCCUGGGGAGUACGACCGCAAGGUUAAAACUCAAAUGAAUUGACGGGGACCCGCACAAGUAGUGGAGCAUGUGGUUUAAUUCGAAGAUACGCGCAGAACCUUACCAACACUUGACAUGUUCGUCGCGACUCUAAGAGAUUAGAGUUUUCGGUUCGGCCGGACGAAACACAGGUGCUGCAUGGCUGUCGUCAGCUCGUGUCGUGAGAUGUUGGGUUAAGUCCCGCAACGAGCGCAACCCUCACUUUUAGUUGCCAUCAUUCAGUUGGGCACUCUGAAAGAACUGCCAGUGAUAAGCUGGAGGAAGGUGGGGAUGACGUCAAGUCCUCAUGGCCCUUACGUGUUGGGCUACACACGUGCUACAAUGGCAUUUACAAUAGGAAGCAAGAUGGCGACAUCAAGCAAAUCCUAAAAAGAUGCCUCAGUUCGGAUUGUACUCUGCAACUCGAGUACAUGAAGCUGGAAUUACUAGUAAUCGCGGAUCAGCGCGCCGCGGUGAAUACGUUCCCGGGUCUUGUACACACCGCCCGUCACACCAUGGGAGUUGGUUCUACCUUAAGGCAAGGUUUAAAACCCUUGACUACGGUAUAGUCAGCGACUGGGGUGAAGUCGUAACAAGGUAGCCGUA
rnacentral:rRNA from 1 species